AAUAGUAACACAACGAAUAAGACAUAUAUAGAGAUGAAUGAUAU
rnacentral:guide_RNA from 1 species